rfam:Daucus carota subsp. sativus cultivar DH1 chromosome 6, whole genome shotgun sequence.
AAGCCAUGAAGUGAGCACAAAGCGAACUAUUCUUUCGCCUUUUACUAAAGAAUACAGUGGAAUCGUCCCCUAUAGUUCAGUUCAAAUAUUUUUGUCCAAUAUGCAGCCUAUGUUU